AGUGCAGCGCAGGGACCUGAGGAUCUCUGGACCACCGCCCCUCUUGGAUGCACCCUCUUAGCUGCCUCCGCCCAGGGUACCCCUUCCCUCCUGGCCCGCAUGCCUCUUAUUGUUGCGAGGCCUCGGGUCCCCUCCUUCCGCCCACCUUCUGGGGCUCGAAAUGAAGUAGCUUGGCCUCCCACACAAGUUAGGCAAGCGGGUGGGCCCUCUGAGCCCAGCCGGGAGGCGCCCCGCAGGGCUGGAGUGGUCACCCCGGGCACAGAACCCAGGAGAGUAAGCUAAGGGCUGUGGGAGGCACCAGUCAACUGCUCCCGGAGGCCCCAAGACUGAUCCUAGAUUGCCCCCCCCCCCGCUGCAGAGGGGAAGCCCGCUGCUGUGAGCCUGCUCCCAGGGAAGCGCCCUGGAGGUCCCAACCCAGUCCGGUCGGGUUUUCAUCUCUCGUCUGGUUCGCCUCCUCUCCCCCUGCCCUCCCUUUCCCCCAAAUAAAUAAAUAUCUCCAAGGGCAGCGAACUCAGCAGGGCGCCGGACCCUACGCCUGGGCGAUAGAUGAACUUCCUGGCGCAUCAAAACUCUGCUCCAGUCCUCCCCGCGGAGCUCAGGAUAUGGGGCGCGCUUGCUUCUCUUCUGAAAAGGAAACGUAGCUCUUCCAAAAAUAUAAAUCAGCUCUGACGUCCAAAUAUUUCUUUUGUCCUCCAGCAUCCUCUGUGGGGAUAAAUAAAACGUGCUCGGCGCCCAGAGGCCGACUUGGGACCUCGGGGCGCCCAGACGCCGCCUCAGAAGAGCUGCCUUUGGGGAGUCCCCCCAUCUCCUAUUCUCUCUCUGCCCCCGGCCUGGCGAUGGGUCCCAGUCCGGGUAUGAGGCCUGAUACUCGGCCGCAGAGAAAGACAUGGAGGGCAAAACCCCAGAGCCUUGGAGGAGAAAAGCUCCCGAGGUCUGUCCAAGUAGGAAAGGAGUGCUUGCUGGAGAUAAGACAAGAGGAGGGCAGAAAAGCUCAGGUCUAGCAUCUUAGAAGAGUUUGGAUCCCAAAGCUGCCUCUCCAGGUCCACUUUGCCUCCAGGGUUUUUACUCCUCCCUUGGAGCAUGUGCCUACAGCUUUCCUCAUGGGGCACCCAAGGGACCCCCACCUCUAUUCCUGGAGUAUCCAUACGUGGUUGGGGCUGAGGGGGCCGAGGUAGGGCAUCUCUGAGUGCUGUUGCUGCUGGAGAAGCCAGGGAGCCAGUUCAGGGCUUGGUCCUCAAGGGUCUCCUAUGGUGAGCUCCCGAGGAUGGCUUUGAGCCCAGUCAUACUUAGCCACCCUUCAACCCCCAAGGAUUUCCUCUCUAGUUGGGAUAGAAUUCUGGUUGGGGCUUGGAAAUCUACACUAGGUUAAAAUCACAGGCAACAGGAUGGUGGCGAAGCUAGCUAGUGGGAGUUCUUCAGGGAGAUGAAAUAAGGGUGAAAUAUUCCUAGUGGAGGGAGUUGGCCUGAAGGUGUGUCCAGCAUCUCCAUUCUCCUUCUGGUUUCCUUGUCACCAAUGGCCUUGGCAACCCAACAGUCCUUCAACCCACCUGUCCCUCUUUCUCCAAUAAAUCACCCAUAUCCACACUGCCAGCCUGAAAGACUUCCCUAAGUUAGUGGGUUCCAGCAAGAAGUCUCCACCUGCCCAGGGUCCGCUCACUCACCUCUCAUGCCCUAUCACCCUGGCCAUGAGGUUCUAUUCCAGACCUGGGACUUGGUGGGGGUGCUGUUCAGCUGGCCACCCCCCUCUCUUCAGGGGGGUCUUUAUUGAUGAGCUGCCUCAAGAACCCCAGCCCAGAUCUUCCCAGAGGGUUUAGACAAUCCAUCACCCACCACUUCAAGAAUGCUUCCUCCCUUUCAAACACAAUCCUUGCACACCAGACAGGCUGCGGUGGGGAGGGGAGCGCACUUGAAAAGAGAACAGCUAUAUAAUCAACGUCAAAGCAGUCCCCCAACCUUUCGGAAACAGGGAUUUGGGCCAAAAAUCUCUCCAAAUGAUUUAGGAGGCCUCCCUCGCCCUCGUCCCCACCUUCCACUUGACUCUUGCCUGUUUCUGCAGUCCUGCGGCCAGCACGGCCAACGCACAACCCUACGCUGUGUUGAAAGUCAACCCUGAAGGCUCUUCCAUGGGUAGUUUACAUUUAGCUAGAGAAAGCGUUUUUCUUUUGGGGGUUCAGGGAGGGAUCAGAAUUUCGGCCUCGCCAUCAUGCUCUCAAGGCCUGGUCACGGUAUCCUCAUGGAGAGGAAUUGAAUUGGGAAGGCCAGGUGUGGCCCUUUGGAGUUGUCAAAUAAGUGUCACCUUCCUUUCUUUUAGAGUCCGCGGAUUUUUGCGGUCUCAGGAGCUGCGCCUCCCCUUAGCCUUAGGCGCCAGGAAUUCCUUCAGCUUCCGCUGGGUGGCGCCAGGCUCUCGGAAAUCGCUGCCCGCGGGGCAGCCCAGGCGCGGUUCAACGCCACGGGCUCCCUUCCACCUGCUCUGGGCUCCCAACACCCAUGGACCGUGUUCCCCGAGGCCCCGCGGCCCAGGCCCCAUCCCCUGAGGCAAGCCAGUGUUUUGCCUUCAGGUGGACACAUAAUUCCAAGUACUGUCGCGCAUCUCGUACUCCAUUGGCCAUUGUAGGGCAUAUUCGGCUUUACCCCUCCGUUUCCACCUCCAGUGGAAAAUGAGCCAGGCACUAGACACUCCUGUAUUGGAACGCGUGCUCUCCGAGGCACACCAGGCUUCGCAAGGCACACCAGGCCUUGCGAAGAAAUGCAGAAUCAGUUCAGGUAUUUUGAUUCCCGGCAGCAAGGCGCAGGCGCUGUGUCUUCAUUUUUCAACCUGGAGCUCCUGGAACUCUCUUGAGGUCUAGUAGAAAACGAAUGAACAAAGGAAACGUCAAGCAUCUGGAGGAUGCGGGUUCGGGUUGGUCCUGCAGCGAGUAGCCGGAAAGGCGAGUUCUGUACCUCAGUGUGCUCACACGUGAAGCUGCAUCUGACCUCCUUGUGUCUGCCGUGUCAAGAAGACAACUAUUUGCGUUCAUAAUUAUCUCUCAUUUUUUAACUAAAGAAAACCCUUGCGAUUCCCUAAACUUGUGCUGAUGAAAGUUUGCAAAAUAAAAGGGGACUUGAGGGGUCUUUUGGGGGCGGGCUGGAUCCAAACCGGGGGAUAAUUUGCAGAUAGGGUAGGCUCCACCAGGGGCUGUGAACUUGACACUCAGGUAUCACCCGCUCGCCUCUCUUCUGUGGUUGGUGUCUAAUACUUAACUGGAUUUCCUCUUUUCUGAGACAAUAAGUUAUUCUCCAUAGCAACUGACUUAAAAAAAAAAAAACUCUAAAAAUUAGCUUUAAUAGCGUAAAAUUUACAUACAAACAUCCAUUUCUAAUGAAGAGGUUUUUUAUAGGUUGUCUUUUGUAUUUGUUAUUGUAAAAGUUCCCUAGUACAUAGUGGAGAUGCCAUGCAAUAAGCCCCCACACACCCAUUACCUGAAUGGAACAAUUACCAAGGUUUUGCCACAUUUACUUUAUUAAUCUCUUCUCAUUCAUUUCUUGCUAAAAAAAAUUUUAAAGCAAAUCUAGACACUAGGUUUAAAAAAAUAUCUUACUACUUUUCACACUUUUCAGGUCUAUUUCUCUCAUACCUAAGAUUGUAUUUUGAUAAGCAUAACCUUCCCUUAGAGAAGUUCAAACUUACAGGGGACACUUUGUUUUUGGAUGUGAAUUUUACUGAGAGAAUUCUCCAUCCUGGUGCUUCCCCUCCCCUAAGUGACUUUAAGCCCUGAAUUUGUUGGCUUUCCUUGGGCUGCUGAAUCCUGGGAGAGGUUGACAAACUUUCCCUCCACCACUUUCAAUGGAGGCUGGGUGCAUGCUGCUAUUGUAAUCUGUGAAAAGGGAUAUUCAGGUUCCUUCCAUUGGCAGAGUCAACCCCAUUCUGCCUUCCAUACACACAUGCCAGAUCAUUCAUACAGAAUGUGUGGCAAGAUCAUAUGUCCUUUGAAAAUAUCUAUAAAUAUGAAUAUGGAUGUAUGCUUAUUCAUGGGGACUGUUCAGUAAUUUUCAAAUUGUUUAUUCAUACAGUCGCUAGCCUAGAGGACUUUUCAUAUUGUUUGAAAGUGAUUGUGGCAAAAUUUAGGGAGAGGCAACCCUCUCCCUAAUCCCACCACCAAAUCACAUCAUGACUCUACACAUACUUCACAAACAUUUGUUCAUUGACUGUCUGAUUUUCCUACUCCCUGAACAAUACAUGUUACCAUUCUUAGCUUUUCCUUCACCCUCAAUGGAACCUUCAGCAAAUGAAGAGCUAUGUGGUAGUUGUAGGUAAUCUACCAUGAACUGCUACCAUAUACCACCAUGUUCAUAGUUGCACCUGCUCCCUGUGAUUUUGGGUAAAUCACUUAAUGUUUCUAAGCUUCAGUUUCUAUUAUUUUUUGUAAGAUGGGAAUAAUAAAAUUAAAAUAAUAAUGUCCCUUCCCACGGUGACUAUAAAAAUGAAAUAAUGGUUGUAAAAAGCAUUAACAUUCUGACAUAUACACAUUUAUGCUGUUAUUUUUGGCCCAGUCCGGUAAAAGCACUGUUUAGUUUUAGGCACCCCAUAAGUUUCUUGCGUACUUGGGAUCAUUCCUUCCCUGAGCAAUCUCUAGAACAAGCAUUUGGUUUAGUCCUUAAUAAGGAAAAGAUACAAUUGGUGCAAUGUGUACAAAUUUAAGCCCGCUUCUUCAGGCUGGGGUGCCAGCUCUCCUGGAUGUUUCUGGACUGUGGCUGUGGCUCCAACGCAAAGGGAGAAUCUAGGGAAGGAAAGAGAGACGUUUCCUUUGGUGGGGUCAUUGCGGCUCUUGAAUAUAUCUGACUCUUUCGCAGCACCCGGGCGGAGCAGACACCCUCGCAACGCCGCGCGGCAGGCUGCCGAGCCGAAGAACCCUCGCUGUCUACAUGCACCACCGCAGCCGGAGGAACCCUGGACAGCCGACAAUCAUGGAACUAUUUCGAGGCCAAUAUUUGAUUGAUGUCUGGACUUUGGGUGUUCCUGCAUAUGAAGAUUGGAGUUGGCAGUGUAGAGUGGAAAAUUAGAUGUUUAUUAAAGGACAGCAGAAAAGACUUCUCCCGGAGGAAGAAGGGGACCUGAGGUGGAAUCCGUUGAAGGGCGAGAGAACACUUGGCUGAUCUUCGAAGGAGUUAAGGAGCAGAUAGCAGGAAAUUAUAGAGAAAAAUGGAAAACAGAUUCUUUGGUGAAAGUGCAUAAUCUUGGAGAAUAUCAUGUCAAGGUUGUAAAAACUAUCCAUGUGCUGCUGUUUCCUAUUCUUCACCCCCGGCCCAGAUCUUUCCUGAACUUCAGGCUUGAAUAUGCAACUGCUUCCCUGAUGGGCUUCAUUUGAGUGUCCUUCCUGCAACUUAAAAUCCGUGUGUUCCAGACCCAACUCUGCGCUGGGCUGAAGGCCAUGGCUGACUCCAAUGGUGCCUGUGGGCAAAUUGGAAAAAAUGCACACUUUUCUCAAAAUACUUUACUCUCCUUGGACAAAAUUUAUUGUAAUUGAUGCCAAAAUUAUUAUGACUCUGAUGUCAAGGGCACUCCCUUUAUUUGUGCAUGACAAGAAAGUCUUGAAUUGCUGCACAUAGACAUGCGCAUGCACACACAUGCAAAAGCAAAGUGGCGCCUCCUUGACUCCAUGACUGUGGGAAUGGCCUCCUUGCCUACCAGUGUCCUUCUCCUGACCUUCACUUCUAGUCAUCUCCAAGUCCUGGGGAUGCACCUUCAAAACUUGUCAAAACCUGUUUAUUCUCCAUCCCUGCUGUGGCUUAUUCAGACCAUCUUGACUCACUUGUGUUGUUGCAACAGCCUCUAAUGUUGCCUAUAUGGGGUCCUCUCCUUUCUGUUCUUCCUGGAGUAGAUUUAUCCUUAUUAGCAAAACCAACUGCUAUCUGCUAAAAGCACUUCAGUGACUCCCCAUUGUUCUCAGAGUACAGAGCAGGAUCCUUUAUGAUCUUGCUGACAUUUACCUCUCUGCUUUGCCUUCUUUCCCACAACCAUAGGUUCUGCAGUUCAUGAAUGCAGACAGUUUGCAAUUCCCCAAAUGUGCAUGCUCUCUCUUGGCUUUGUGCCGGUGCACAUACCGUUCCCUUCACCUAGAAGCUUCCUUUCCACUCCCUGCUCCUAACUCCAGCUUAUUCAUGGCUCAGGUUUCAGUGUAAAUACCACAGUAUCCAGAAAAUUUUCUCUACAUCCUUGGAGCCUGGGAGCAAUGCACCUCUGGAUGCCCACAUCAUUUCGAGGUUCAUCUCCAUGAUGGUCCCACACCUGACACGGUGCUUACCUGUUUACAGGGAGGUCUGCAGGGUGGAUUCUGUUUUGGCCUUCCUUUUUUUUUUUCUGUUCAAUCAUGUCUAGAAUGUGAUAAGGUGCUCAAAAAGGUUUGCAACUGAACAGAGGUACAGAGAAAAAUUUCUUACCCUCAGAUUUCCUGUUAUUCAAUUAAACCGGAACUUCCUUACUUCAUUGAAAAAAUGUGUGUAUAAGCCAAAAUGCCAUAGAUAUGAAAGAAAGAUAUGAUAUCUAUUAUUAAAUUACUAAGGAAAUCUAAAAACUCAAUUGUUAAAAAAAACAACAAAUAAUCUGAAUUAAAAAUGGACGAAGGACUGAAUAGACAUUUCUUAAUAGAAGACAAAUAAAUUGCCAACAGGAGCCAGGCAUGGUGGCUCAUGCCUGUAAUCCCAGCUAACCUGGGGGUGGGGUCGA